GGGCGGAUGGUGAAAUGGUAGACACGCUAGUCUUAGGAACUAGUGCCGCAAGGCAUGGAGGUUCAAGUCCUCUUCCGCCCA
rnacentral:tRNA from 1 species